UACGGAAGGGGCAAGCGUUGUUCGGAAUCAUUGGGCGUAAAGGGCGCGUAGGCGGUCUUGUGUGUCUGCUGUGAAAGCAUGCGGCUCAACCGUAGAAGGUCGGUAGAAACUGCAAGACUCGAGGCUGGGAGGGGCUGGUGGAAUUCCCUAUGUAGCGGUGAAAUGCGUAGAUAUAGGGGAGAACACUCGUGGCGAAGGCGGCCAGCUAGACCAGUCCUGACGCUGAGGCGCGACAGCGUGGGGAGCAAACAGG
rnacentral:rRNA from 1 species